AGUCAAUAGAUACCCAGGUAGUCCACGCCGUAAACGAUGAAUACUAGGUGUAGGAGGUAUCGACUCCUUCUGUGCCGCAGUUAACACAAUAAGUAUUCCGCCUGGGGAGUACGGUCGCAAGAUUAAAACUCAAAGGAAUUGACGGGGGCCCGCACAAGCAGCGGAGCAUGUGGUUUAAUUCGAAGCAACGCGAAGAACCUUACCUAGACUUGACAUCUUCUGCAUUAAUCGUAAUGGAUGAAAUCCCUUCGGGGACAGAAUGACAGGUGGUGCAUGGUUGUCGUCAGCUCGUGUCGUGAGAUGUUGGGUUAAAGUCCCGCAACGAGCGCAACCCCUACUUAUUAGUUGCUAACAUUAAGUUGAGCACUCUAGUGAGACUGCCCGGGUUAACCGGGUAGGAAGGUGGGGAUGACGUCAAAUCAUCAUGCCCCUUCGUGUCUAGGGCGUACACACGUGCUACAAUGGUGGGAACAAAGAGAUGCAAUACCGCGAGGUGGAGCUAAGCUCAAAACCCCAUCCCAGUUCGGAUUGUAGGCUGAAAC
rnacentral:rRNA from 1 species